rnacentral:ncRNA from 1 species
CCAAAAACACAAUAUUUUGGUCCUAAACUUGCCGCUAUUUUUUACUAAAUUUAUACAUGCAAGCAUCUACACGCCAGUGAGAAUGCCCAUCUACAAGACAAAUGGAGCUGGUAUCAGGCACAACAUUUAGCCAAUGACACCUUGCUAUGCCACACCCCCACGGGUUUACAGCAGUAAUCAAUAUUAAACAUGAGCGAAAGCUCGAUUUAGUUAUAGUGAAUACAGGGCCGGUAAAUUUCGUGCCAGCCACCGCGGUUAUACGAAAGACCCAAAAUAACGGCCUAACGGCGUAAAGCGUGGUUAGAAAAACCAAAACUUAAGGAUGUACAUCUUCUCCGCUGUAAAACGCCCAAGAGGACAAGAAAAUUAAUUCCUUAAACCAUUUAACCCCACGAAAGCUGGGGCACAAACUGGGAUUAGAUACCCCACUAUGCCCAGCCAUAAACCUAGAUAGCAAAAUACCACCUAUCCGCCAGAGAACUACAAGCAAAAUACUUAAAACUCAAAGGACUUGGCGGCAUUCCAUAUCAACCUAGAGGAGCCCGUCCAAUAAUCGAUAAUACACGCUCAACCCAACCACUUUUGGCCACUCCAGCCUAUAUACCGCCGUCGCCAGCUAACCUUGUGAAAGAAAAAGAGUAAGCACAAUAGCCCUCGCUAAAACGUCAGGUCAAGGUGUAGCUAAUAAAAUGGGUGCGAUAGGCUACAUUUUCUAUUUUAGAAAACACGGAAAUUACAAUGAAACUUGUAAUAGAAGGCGAAUUUAGAAGUAAAAUAAGAAAUGACUCUUACUUUAACACUGCCCUGGAAUGCGCACACACCGCCCGUCACCCUCCUCGAAAUUAAACCAGAUGAGGUAAG